ACGCUCGACACCUACGAGAGGCAGCAGUGGGGAAUAUUGCACAAUGGGGGAAACCCUGAUGCAGCGACGCCGCGUGAGCGAAGAAGUAUUUCGGUAUGUAAAGCUCUAUCAGCAGGGAAGAAGAAAGACGGUACCUGACUAAGAAGCCCCGGCUAACUACGUGCUAGCAGCCGCGGUAAUCUGAGCGGGCUGGCAAGGC
rnacentral:rRNA from 1 species